CCUACGGGAGGCAGCAGUGAGGAAUAUUGGUCAAUGGACGAGAGUCUGAACCAGCCAAGUAGCGUGAAGGAUGACUGCCCUAUGGGUUGUAAACUUCUUUUAUAAAGGAAUAAAACGAGGCACGUGUGCCUUUUUGCAUGUACUUUAUGAAUAAGGAUCGGCUAACUCCGUGCUAGCAGCCGCGGUAAUACGGAGGAUCCGAGCGUUAUCCGGAUUUAUUGGGUUUAAAGGGAGCGUAGAUGGGUUGUUAAGUCAGUUGUGAAAGUUUGCGGCUCAACCGUAAAAUUGCAAUUGAUACUGGUAGUCUUGAGUACAGUUGAGGUAGGCGGAAUUCGUGGUGGAGCGGUGAAAUGCUUAGAUAUCACGAAGAACCCCGAUUGCGAAGGCAGCUUACUAAACUGUGACUGACAUUGAUGCUCGAAAGUGUGGGUAUCAAACAGGAUUAGAUACCCCAGUAGUC
rnacentral:rRNA from 1 species